rnacentral:lncRNA from 1 species
UUAGGAUUACCUAUCCUCAAGUAUUCUCAGAGGUAAGUGUAGAUACUGAGCUUCUAGCAUGUGUUCUAAAGGUUUUAUGGCGUUUUUAUGGGUAGAGAUGCAUGUUGAGGUUAAGUAUGGUUGCUGUGAGUUUUGUGCAAAACUAUGCUUAUGUGUUGUAUUGAUGUUGUUGUUUGGGGUUUUAAGUUAGUUGUGGACCCCUUUGUGCAUGUCCAUGAGUAUAUGCGCGUUGUGGUUUG